rnacentral:rRNA from 1 species
UACAGAGGGUGCGAGCGUUCAUCGGAAUUACUGGGCGUAAAGCGCGCGUAGGCGGCUUUUCAAGUCGAUUGUGAAAUCCCCGGGCUUAACCUGGGAACUGCAGUCGAGACUGUCUAGCUAGAGUAUGGGAGAGGGAAGUGGAAUUUCAGGUGUAGCGGUGAAAUGCGUAGAUAUCUGAAGGAACAUCAGUGGCGAAAGCGACUUCCUGGACCAAUACUGACGCUCAUGUGCGAAAGCGUGGGGAGCAAACAGG